GAUGAAGAACGCAGCGAAAUGCGAUACGUAAUGUGAAUUGCAGAAUUCAGUGAAUCAUCGAGUCUUUGAACGCACAUUGCGCCCCCUGGUAUUCCGGGGGGCAUGCCUGUCCGAGCGUCAUUGCUGCCCUCAAGCACGGCUUGUGUGUUGGGCCUCCGUCCUCCUCCCGGGGGACGGGCCCGAAAGGCAGCGGCGGCACCGCGUCCGGUCCUCGAGCGUAUGGGGCUUCGUCACCCGCUCUUGUAGGCCCGGCCGGCGCUUGCCGACACAUCAAUCUUUUUUCCAGGUUGACCUCGGAUCAGGUAGGGAUACCCGCUGAACUUAAGCAUAUCAAUAAGCCGAGGA
rnacentral:misc_RNA from 1 species